AAUGCAACCAUGUGUUACCAUGAAUUUAACGUAAAUCGAUAUACAGUAUGCAAACUGUCACAUAGAAAUUACAUUAUUGUGGGAUUGUUUCCAUGAUAUCUGUGGAGGAAAAAAAUUUCCAGGUAAGGAUACAUUUUCAGAUUUCAACUUCAUUUGGAUGUCCUUGAAGUAAUUUUAUCAGACCAGAUUGUAUUAUUGGUGGAAAAUUUCAAACAAUGAGAGUAUAAUGAAGAGCCAGAAAAUGUGACUACAGACAGAAAUCAGGAACCCAAGUCUUUAAUAAGGCAGAUAGUUUAGAUACGAUUAAAUAAUUUAAAACAAAUAAUUAAA